rnacentral:lncRNA from 1 species
AAUAACAUGAGCAUACUUUUUUUUGCUAUUUUAUACCCCUUUCCAAUCAGUGAGAUUACUAAGAGGUGAGGCCAGUUCCAACCACAAGCUGCACCCAUGAUGGGAGACUGAUGGUGAAAGAUGGGGAUAGCCAUAUGGGACCUAGAACCCCGAAAAAACUUUUCAGAAGAUUCAUUGCUACACAGGAGGAUCCAGGUUCGUGUCUUGGUCCUCCUGUGUGGCAUGCCAAUGUGUUACCACGAAGCCAUCCAGCCAUCUUGCACAGAACAUACUACUAUAAUCACGUGCCCUGAUCUGUUUCGGAGUAGUCUGUGGUUGUUUCGGGGCGCCUAGGGCGUGUGUUGGUUUUGGUGGAGUUGCCCAUAACAUGUUGUGGUUGCC